GUGAACGUAGCUCAAUUGGUAGAGCUCUGGGUUGUGGUCCCAGCGGUUGCGGGUUCAAGUCCCGUCGUUCACC
rnacentral:tRNA from 1 species